AGAGUUUGAUCCUGGCUCAGAGUGAACGCUGGCGGCGUGCUUAACACAUGCAAGUCGAACGAGAACGGGUUAUAGUUUACUAUAACUGUCAGCUAAGUGGCGCACGGGUGAGUAAUAUAUAGGUAACGUGCCCUAGAGAAGAGGAUAACAUUUGGAAACGAUUGCUAAUACUCUAUAUGCCUUUAAGUCAUAAGACUGCAAGGGAAAUAUUUAUAGCUCUAGGAUCGGCCUGUACGGUAUCAGUUAGUUGGUGAGGUAAUGGCUCACCAAGACAAUGACGCCUAACUGGUUUGAGAGGAUGAUCAGUCACACUGGAACUGAGACACGGUCCAGACUCCUACGGGAGGCAGCAGUGGGGAAUAUUGCACAAUGGAGGAAAGUNUGAUGCAGCAACGCCGCGUGGAGGAUGACACAUUUCGGNGCGUANACUCCUUUUAUAUAGGAAGAUAAUGACGGUACUAUAUGAAUAAGCUC
rnacentral:rRNA from 1 species